rnacentral:rRNA from 1 species
AGUGAACGCUGGCGGCAGGCCUAACACAUGCCAGUCGAGCGGCAGCGCGGGGGCAACCCUGGCGGCGAGCGGCGGACGGGUGAGGAAUUCGUCGGAAUCUGCCUUUUUGUGGGGGAUAACGUAGGGAAACUUACGCUAAUACCGCAUACGUCCUACGGGAGAAAGUGGGGGACCGCAAGGCCUCACGCAGAAAGAUGAGCCGACGACCGAUUAGCUAGUUGGUGGGGUAAAGGCCCACCAAGGCGACGAUCGGUAGCUGGUCUGAGAGGAUGAUCAGCCACACUGGGACUGAGACACGGCCCAGACUCCUACGGGAGGCGGCAGUGGGGAAUAUUGGACAAUGGGCGCAAGCCUGAUCCAGCCAUGCCGCGUGUGUGAAGAAGGCCUUCGGGUUGUAAAGCACUUUUGUCCGGAAAGAAAUCCCUGGAGCUAAUACCUUCGGGGGAUGACGGUACCGGAAGAAUAAGCACCGGCUAACUUCGUG